UUAAAAUUAAUUUUUUUUCAUUUUUUCGAUGUUGAUGAAAUGUGUUUAUGCAUAUGUCAAUUUUUUCGAAGAUGAUUAAAAUUGGUUUGCUCUAGUUUUAGUGUUUGAUAUUCAUAUAGAUUUUUUGUUUUGAAGUAACACUUUUUAGGAUAAUUCUUGCUUAGAUACUAUCGUUCGUUUUUUACUUAAAGUGAUUGGAUCAAACCUAGUUGUUGUAGUAGUAGUAGUUAUGACUUGUGAAGUUCGAUUGGUGUGCAAAUGCAAUAAGGUUUAGUGAUUAAUUUUGAAUACUGUAAGUAUGCUCUUAAGUAUUAAUGUAAAGUUUAUUAUGCUAUCAUUACUCAUUAGAUUAUAUUAUAUCAAAUGUAUGUGUGAUUGCCGAGACAUGGAUUCCAACAGUAAAACCUUUUUGAUGAGUUGAUAUAUAAUUUGGUUAUACUUAAUUUACUUGGAUAGUAACUACAUUAAAAUGUUUUGCGGGCACGAGCGAAACAUGACAUGACAAAUACUGUUGUUGCUGGGUGUGUUACUGGAGGUUCAAUAUCAGCAAAAGGUGGUCCAAAAGCAGCAUGUGCUGGUUGUGCUGGUUUUGCGGCAUUCUCAGUCGUUAUAGACAAGUUCUCAGACAGGCAUGAGUAGCUACCUAUUGAAUUGAAGUCACCCAAUUUUGCAUUCAUUAAGCAUAGCAUGGAUUUUCAUAGUGAUAAUCUUUUGCCCAUUUGCUAAAGGGCACACACAAAAUUGUAGUAUUUUAUUUUACAUCGAUUAUUGCUUAUUUGUAUAUAAUAUCAAUUGGUGGAUGCAUUCCUCCAAUUCCAAACUAGAUGUAAGUAUGCUCUUAAGUAUUAAUGUAAAGUUUAUUAUGCUGUCA